UUGGCAAGAGACUGUGAAAUUACAAAUGUACCGAGUUCAGCAUUUUGAUUUUGUUGUUCAGUCAGGCAAGACAAGAUGACGGGCAGGGUGAGAGAAGAUUCCUGAUCCAACUCACAGGUCCCAAACUUCCAGUCCUGUAGAUACUCUGCACCCAAACCUGCUUCCACUGUCAUCAAAGGGAGCCGUGUGGGGUCCGGAGUGAGGAACUGCCCUUGAGAGAGGACGCAGAGCAGUGGAAUAGCGAGUGUGGCUGCCCUUACACUGUUACUGGAUCUCUGGACUGUACUGGAGGGGACGGCUCCCAACAGGCUGGCCACCUGAUAGAACGCGUGGAGGAGAGUCAGUGGCCGUGGUGCUGUGCCGAAGGAACACAGAGUUUGCAGUGCUCAUUACCUAACCUUGUGUGCUGAGCUGCAAACUCAGCUGAUGGGAGGAAUCCACUUGCAUGACUCAUCUUCAUGGAGGGAGGGUAGAACAGCCAACGCAUUUUGUCAUCUUUAACAUCCCACAAUAGUCUCUCAGUUGUCAAUGGACCUUUCCUGUUGGGCAAGAUGUGACGGCUA
rnacentral:lncRNA from 1 species